GACAGAGGGUGCAAACGUUGUUCGGAAUUACUGGGCGUAAAGCGCGUGUAGGCGGCCCUGCAAGUCGGGUGUGAAAUCCCACGGCUCAACCGUGGAAGUGCAUUCGAAACUGCAGGGCUAGAGUCCUGGAGAGGAAGGUGGAAUGCUUGGUGUAGAGGUGAAAUUCGUAGAUAUCAAGCGGAACACCGGUGGCGAAGGCGGCCUUCUGGACAGUGACUGACGCUGAUGCACGAAAGCUAGGGGAGCAAACAGG
rnacentral:rRNA from 1 species